GCCCCUGGGGAUCGGAGAAGGUGACAAGUCCCACAGCAGGUGAAGGGCUUUACAAGCCACGUGUCUCACGGCAGUCCAGGGUGGGCAUGUACGUGACACCAUAUCCAUCUUUCAAAAAAAAUGAAAGCUAGUAAUGACAACCCAGCUGUUCGGAAGAGGCCCUCGACUUCAAAGUUCAUUCGUCUCUGCAGUUGGCUUUCUUCUCUUCAUACAAACUCUUGAUGU